rnacentral:rRNA from 1 species
AACGAACGCUGGCGGCAUGCCUAACACAUGCAAGUCGAACGAAGCCUUCGGGCUUAGUGGCGCACGGGUGCGUAACGCGUGGGAAUCUGCCCUUUGGUUCGGAAUAACAGUUGGAAACGACUGCUAAUACCGGAUGAUGACGAAAGUCCAAAGAUUUAUCGCCAGAGGAUGAGCCCGCGUAGGAUUAGCUAGUUGGUGUGGUAAAGGCGCACCAAGGUGACGAUCCUUAGCUGGUCUGAGAGGAUGAUCAGCCACACUGGGACUGAGACACGGCCCAGACUCCUACGGGAGGCAGCAGUGGGGAAUAUUGGACAAUGGGCGAAAGCCUGAUCCAGCAAAGCCGCGUGAGUGAUGAAGGCCCUAGGGUUGUAAAGCUCUUUUACCCGGGAUGAUAAUGACAGUACCGGGAGAAUAAGCCCCGGCUAACUCCGUGCCAGCAGCCGCCGUAAAAC